UAGGGAAUCUUCCACAAUGGGCGCAAGCCUGAUGGAGCAACACCGCGUGAGUGAAGAAGGGUUUCGGCUCGUAAAGCUCUGUUGUUAAAGAAGAACACGUAUGAGAGUAACUGUUCGUACGUUGACGGUAUUUAACCAGAAAGUCACGGCUAACUACGUGCCAG
rnacentral:rRNA from 1 species